rnacentral:ncRNA from 1 species
UAAAGGUUUGGUCCUGGCCUUGAAGUCAAUUACUUCUUAAUAUACACAUGCAAGUAUCCGCCCCCCUGUGAAAACGCCCUUAAAUCCCCAAUAGGGAUAAGGAGCUGGUAUCAGGCACGAAAUUCUGCCCAAGACACCUAGCUAUGCCACACCCACAAGGGAACUUCAGCAGUGAUUAACAUUGAACAUAAGCGACAGCUUGACUCAGUUAAAGAAAAGAGAGCCGGCAAAUCUGGUGCCAGCCGCCGCGGUUACACCACGUGACUCAAAUUGACCCUAGUCGGCGUAAAGCGUGAUUAAAGUUUAAACAAAUUAAAGUUAAACUAAAAUUAAGCUGUGACACGCUUAUUUUAAGGAAAACCUGAAACGAAAGUUACUUUAACUUAAUCUACUUGAACUCACGACAAUUAGGACACAAACUGGGAUUAGAUACCCCACUAUGCCUAAUCGUAAACCUUAACUUACAUUAUCAUCGCCAGGGAACUACGAGCAAAGCUUAAAACCCAAAGGACUUGACGGUACCCCAAAUCCACCUAGAGGAGCCUGUCCUAUAACCGAUACCCCCCGUUUAACCUCACCACUUUUAGCCUCUCAGCCUGUAUACCUCCGUCGUCAGCUUACCACGUGAGCGAACACUAGUGAGCCUAAUGCCCACACGCCAACACGUCAGGUCAAGGUGCAGCAUAUGAAGUGGAAAGAGAUGGGCUACACUUUCUAAUAUAGAACACACGAAAGACUACCUAUGAAACCUAGUCUGAAGGCGGAUUUAGAAGUAAAAAAAAACAAGAGCGUUUUCUUUAACUAGGCACUGGGGUGUGUACACACCGCCCGUCACCCUCUUCAAAGCUUACUUAUAGUAACUAACCUAAAUUUGCUAAACAGAAGAGGCAAGUCGUAACAUGGUAAGUAUACCGGAAGGUGUGCUUGGAAA